CGCCCGUAGCAAUACGGGAGCGGCAGACGGGUGAGUAACACGUGGGAACAUGCCCUUCGGUUCGGAAUAACUCAGGGAAACUUGAGCUAAUACCAAAUACGCCCGUACGGGGAAAGAUUUAUUGCCGAAGGAUUGGCCUGCGUCCGAUUAGCUAGUUGGUGGGGUAAAGGCUCACCAAGGCAGAGAUCGGUAGCCGGCCUGAGAGGGCACACGGCCACACUGGCACUGGAACACGGGCCAG
rnacentral:rRNA from 1 species